rnacentral:rRNA from 1 species
AAGAGGAACGUUUUUUUUUUUUUUUUAAGUUUAAACGAUUAAAAUUACUUAUUAGGUGAGUUUCCUUUGGUAUAAGGAGCUUAGGAGAAUAAUUUUAAGUAAAGAUUCUCGAAACUCUAAGAUCUUUAUAAGUAUAUGUUGGCUGUAAGUAGUCUAUUUAAUUUUAUAAAGUGGUGAAAGGUUAUCGAUUAGGGUUUAUUAGUUUUUUGGGUAGUUCAGUUAAGUUGAAUCUGGUCAAUAAGUUGGUGUAGAAAAAUUUUAAGGAUUAGAAGUGUCUUGGUGUUACUACCUGUUGUUUAGGUAUAUUAAUUUGUGUGAGUGUUUGAUUUUAAAAGAAAAUAAUUUAAUUUUCUUUUUAUAAUCUAAGUAUAAGUAUUUGUUAGUUAAAAGUGGAUUUAAGUAGGUUGUCUUGUUGAAAUAAUAAUUCUCGCGAAUGUUUAUUAAAAACAUUUCCUGUUUAAUAAUAGGUAAGCCCUGCUCAAUGAUUUUUUAAUAGCCGCGGUAAAUUGACUGUGCUAAGGUAGCGUAAUCAUUAGUCUUUUAAUUAAGGUCUAGAAUGAAUGGGUAAACGACGGGGUAAGGUGAUAAGGCAAUUAAAUGAACUUAUAGUUUAGGUGAAAAUACCUAAUGGUAAAUUAAAGACGGAAAGACCCUGGAAGUUUUAUAAAAAGAAUUAUUUCAUUGGGGUAAUGGUUGAAGCUUAGGUUUUAAUUAUAUAGAAAAAUUACUCCAGGGAUAACAGGACAAUUCAAAAGGUUAGUUCUUAUAUAUUUUUGAGUUUGUUACCUCGAUGUUGGAUCAUCUCUUCUCAAGGUGUAUUUGGGUAAAGGUCUGUUCGACCUAAAAGAGUUACGUGAUCUGAGUUUAGAUCGGUGUGAGCCAGAUCGGAUCUUAUCUUGAAAGAUUUUUAGGUGGUACGAAAGGAUGCCUAGAAAGCAAUAAUUGUUAU